GGAACCUUAGAUUUAAGAAACAAAGAUGAGGAUGGGGUACUUGGGAUGCUCAGUUAGUUAAGUGUCUGACUCGAUUUCAGCUCAGGUCAUGAUUUCAGGGUCUUGAGAUCCUGAGGCUCGCCUGGGUCGGGCUUGCGCUCAGUGGGGAGCCUGCUUGAGAGUCUCUCUCUCCCUCUUCUUCUCCCUCUGCCCCUCCCACCUCCACCUCCUCCUGCUUUUGCUCUCUCACUGAAAGAAGAAGAAGAAGAAGAAGAAGAAGAAGAAGAAGAAGAAGAAGAAGAAGAAGAAGAAGAAGAAGAAGAAGAAAGUGGAAUCUAGUAUGCAAAACCUUGUGUCUUUCAUGCAAGAAGACGAUUACCAGUGAUUAGAAUCAUAGUUAAAAAUAUUCCUAUUACGGGGAUCCCUGGGUGGCGCAGCAGUUUGGCACCUGCCUUUGGCCCAGGGCGCGAUCCUGGAGACCUGGGAUCGAAUGCCGCGUCGGGCUCCCAGUGCAUGGAGCCUGCUUCUCCCUCUGCUUGUGUAUCUCCCUCUCUCUCUCUGUGUGUGACUAUCAUAAAUAAAUAAAAAUUUAAAAAAAUAUUCCUAUUAAAAAUACAUAGAAAUCAUAACUAUUGUCUUAUUGCCUCAAGAAAAUGAGAUUAAAGAUGGCUCUUCUUUACUAGGAUAUAAUUCCGUGUCAUAACUCUAUAUCGGGACAUAACUGACGUGUUUAGAUUCAGGGUGUAAUGGGGAUGCAAGAUAUGAAUCC
rnacentral:lncRNA from 1 species